rnacentral:rRNA from 1 species
AGUGAACGCUGGCGGCAGGCCUAACACAUGCAAGUCGAACGGCAGCACAGUAAGCGCUUGCUCUUACGGGUGGCGAGUGGCGGACGGGUGAGGAAUACAUCGGAAUCUACUAUUACGUGGGGGAUAACGGAGGGCCACUUACGCUAAUACCGCAUAUGUCCUACGGGUGAAAGCAGGGGAUCUUCGGACCUUUCGCGAUAGUAUGAGACGAUGUCGGAUUAGCUAGUUGGCGGGGUAAAGGCCCACCAAGGCAACGAUCCGUAGCUGGUCUGAGAGGAUGAUCGGCCACACUGGAACUGAGACACGGUCCAGACUCCUACGGGAGGCAGCAGUGGGGAAUAUUGGACAAUGGGCGCAAGCCUGAUGCAGCAAUGCCGCGUGAGUGAAGAAGGCCUUCGGGUUGUAAAGCCCUUUUGUUGGGAAAGAAAAACAGCAGAUGUAAACCUCGCUGUUCUGACGGUACCUAAAGAGUAAGCACCGGCUAACUUCGUG